UGUGGGAGCGAGCCUGCUCGCGAUGACGGAUUAACAUUCAGCAUGUUUGUUGACUGUCAGUCUGUUAUCGCGAGCAGGCUCGCUCCCACA
rnacentral:misc_RNA from 1 species